UACGUAGGGUGCAAGCGUUAAUCGGAAUUACUGGGCGUAAAACGUGCGCAGGCGGUUUUGUAAGUCUGUUGUGAAAUCCCCGGGCUCAACCUGGGAAUGGCAAUGGAGACUGCAAGGCUAGAGUUUGGCAGAGGGGGGUAGAAUUCCACGUGUAGCAGUGAAAUGCGUAGAUAUGUGGAGGAACACCGAUGGCGAAGGCAGCCCCCUGGGUCAAAACUGACGCUCAUGCACGAAAGCGUGGGGAGCAAACAGG
rnacentral:rRNA from 1 species